rnacentral:lncRNA from 1 species
CUGUAGGUGGUGAGGUGAGUAGUGAGGGCAUAAGAACAGUCUGUGAGGUCAUCAGUCAGCAUGUCCUAUCCAGCAAAUGGAAGACAUCAGUUAAUCCAGAAAGCUGAAUAAACAGAAGUUGGUUGAAAGCUUCUAGGAUAAAUGUUUACUGAAAGAACAGAGAGAAAAAAUGGGGGACCAAUGGAUCUUCUCCACCCUUCCAUAACCACCAACAAAUAGGAGAGCUUCAACUCAAGCAUCACUUCCUCUGAGAAGUCCUCCCUAAUGAUUCCUCUCCUCCUGAUAAAGGUAGACUCCCCUGCUUAGGAGCACCACAGCAAGCUGCUAUAUCAAAGUUGACAUGUGUACUGGCUUCCCUGGGUCAGUUCCAGAUUAUGUCUGCUGCCCCAGUGGCAAUAGAUUGAGAUUUCCCAAACGAAAGAGAGCACAACAGCUUCAGCAAGCCAGAGCAGUGGCCAGGAAAGAUUUUAAUCUGUAAUGGAAUCACCCAGCUUUCAUUUGUAACUGCUAACCUGAAGGAUUUUACCUAUAAAUAAAUCAUACAAGCAUUAUACAUAUAAAAAUGUUAGCCCAGCAGUGGCCCACACCUGUAAUCCCAGCACUUUAGAGGCUGAGGUGGGAGGAUCGCUUGAGCCCAGGAGUUCCAGACUAGCCUGAGAAACACAGUGAGACUCUGUCUCUACAAAAAUGGAAAAAAAAUUAGCUGGGCAUGGCAGCGCACGCCUGUAAUCCCAGCUACUCAAGAGCCUAAGGCAGGAGAAUCCCUUGAGCCCAGAGGUCGAGGCUGUAGUGAGCUGUGAUCAUGUCACUGCACUCCAGCCUAGGCAACAGAGUAAGACCUUGUCUCGAAAUAUAAUAAAAAUAAUAAUAUUAAUAUCAUCCCAACUUGGACCUUCAGGUGGGGGGAGGGGGAGAAGAGGAAGGAGAAAGGGCAGAGAUGAUGAACAUAACAGGUUAUUAACACCAACUGUGUACCUACAAUGUGCCAAGCGGUGUGACAAUCCUAGAGACACAACCAUAAAACAAAUUCCCUGCCCUCAAAAUUUAAACAAACUUUCUUAAAAGAUCAGGU